rnacentral:rRNA from 1 species
UACGUAGGGCGCAAGCGUUUGUCCGGAAUUAUUGGGCGUAAAGAGCUCGUAGGCGGUUUGUCGCGUCUGCUGUGAAAACUCAGGGCUUAACCCUGAGCUUGCAGUGGGUACGGGCAGACUAGAGUGCGGUAGGGGAGACUGGAAUUCCUGGUGUAGCGGUGAAAUGCGCAGAUAUCAGGAGGAACACCGGUGGCGAAGGCGGGUCUCUGGGCCGUAGCUGACGCU